ensembl:ncRNA lncRNA:CR43253 long non-coding RNA:CR43253
AAAACCACUGGCUUGCUUUUAAAUAUAAAUCAAAAUUCUUAAGUUUGUUUCAAAUGCAUCAACAGCAAGCAGAAGUGAUUAAAAAAUCACCGUGAAGUCAAUUUAAUGAAAAUUACAUAGUCUUUAUAAAGAUGUUGUUGAUACUCUUGGUUGCCUGCUUUUACCUCGCCUUCGGAUUUCUUAUUUUAUAUUUGAUAUGCCUUCUUUUAGUAAUAUGCUUGUCUAUUUUCUUUGACUACGAUCCGAUAAACAGUUAAUGCAUCUUUAUUUGGAUAGAAAAUAAACAUGCUUGGGAUUGCGAAAAUCAAAGAAAUCAUAAGGCGCGGCAAGUCAAGUGCGUUUCGAGAAAUAUCAUUAAUUUCCCGUUUAGCCGGCAACAACCCCGAAAAGCUUCCAGACAGGAGACCAAAACCAACACAAUGCCCAGCUCCAUGAUGUCCGUGAUGAUGAUUACGCUGCACUCGCUGAGCCUGAGCUGGAUUUUUAAUUGGCCUAGUCCAUUGAGUGCUCCAUUUGCCGGUUUCCCAUCUGUGUACUCAUCAGAUAUCUGCUGGCCAAGGUGCCAGUGGGGUGAAUUGCAGGGCAGAUGCCCAACGAUAAUGGACAGCUGAGAUUUGCGCUCGGAUAGCAGUAACUGUGAAAACAAGUUUGAAUUGCAAAUGAGUGAAUUGCGAAUGAACUGGGAAUUUUCAAAUUGCUAUUUGAAGAACAAUGGGCUUGAUAUCUUGGUGACCAAGCCUGGAAUCGAUGAAUUCACAUUGAAAUUAAAAUAAAGGUUUUAUAUCAGUAUUGAAAGUAAAUUAAAAAAUAAAAUGUUUUGAAAUUGCC